rnacentral:rRNA from 1 species
GAUGAACGCGGCGGCGUGCUUAACACAUGCAAGUCGAGCGAAGCACUUGCUUAGAUUCUUCGGAUGAAGAGGAUUGUGACUGAGCGGCGGACGGGUGAGUAACGCGUGGGUAACCUGCCUCAUACAGGGGGAUAACAGUUAGACAUGACUGCUAAUACCGCAUAAGACCACAGCACCGCAUGGUGCGGGGGUAAAAACUCCGGUGGUAUGAGAUGGACCCGCGUCUGAUUAGCUAGUUGGUAAGGUAACGGCUUACCAAGGCGACGAUCAGUAGCCGACCUGAGAGGGUGACCGGCCACAUUGGGACUGAGACACGGCCCAAACUCCUACGGGAGGUAGCAGUGGGGAAUAUUGCACAAUGGGGGAAACCCUGAUGCAGCGACGCCGCGUGAGCGAAGAAGUAUUUCGGUAUGUAAAGCUCUAUCAGCAGGGAAGAAAAUGACGGUACCUGACUAAGAAGCACCGGCUAAAUACGUGCCAGCAGCCGCGGUAAUACGUAUGGUGCAAGCGUUAUCCGGAUUUACUGGGUGUAAAGGGAGCGUAGACGGAUGGGCAAGUCUGAUGUGAAAACCCGGGGCUCAACCCCGGGACUGCAUUGGAAACUGUUCAUCUAGAGUGCUGGAGAGGUAAGUGGAAUUCCUAGUGUAGCGGUGAAAUGCGUAGAUAUUAGGAGGAACACCAGUGGCGAAGGCGGCUUACUGGACAGUAACUGACGUUGAGGCUCGAAAGCGUGGGGAGCAAACAGG